GACAGCAGUCGCCGCGGUAAUACGAAGGGGGCUAGCGUUGUUCGGAAUUACUGGGCGUAAAGGGCGCGUAGGCGGCCAUUCAAGUUAGAUGUGAAAGCCCUGGGCUCAACCUAGGAAUUGCAUUUGAUACUGUUUGGCUUGAGUUCGGGAGAGGUGAGUGGAAUUCCCAGUGUAGAGGUGAAAUUCGUAGAUAUUGGGAAGAACACCAGUGGCGAAGGCGGCUCACUGGACCGACACUGACGCUGAGGCGCGAAAGCGUGGGGAGCAAACAGGAUUAGAUACCCGGGUAGUCCCUGUCUCUUAUAA
rnacentral:rRNA from 1 species